UACAGAGGUCUCGAGCGUUAGGCGGAAUCACUGGGCUUAAAGCGUGUGUCGGCGGAUCGGUAAGUACCUUGUGAAAUCCCGCAGCUUAACUGUGGAACUGCUUGGUAUACUGCCAGUCUUGAGCCAGCUAGGGGCUACCGGAACAAAUGGUGGAGCGGUGAAAUGCGUAGAUAUCAUUUGGAACGCCAAUGGUGAAAACAGGUAGCUGGGGCUGUGCUGACGCUGAGACACGAAAGCCAGGGGAGCAAACGGG
rnacentral:rRNA from 1 species